GGCGUUGGUUGAGUCUUUGUUUUUGCUGUGUGGAGGCGGUGAGGGCUUUGCAGGAAGUAGACAGCUGGACCCCGGCGGUGGCGGGGUUGAAAAGCCCCGGAGUUUGAGAGCUGAGACUUGCCAGGUCCCACAGGCCAAGCCAGGCCUCUGCACCCCGUCUCUUGGCUCCGACGAAUAUGCUCUCCAUGAGGGUGCUCUUCAGGAUCUCCCACAAUGGCUGGUACUGGAGAAGGCCACAAAAUGGCCUUUGCGAAGACCAAAGCAAUAAGGGAAUUAAGGCCAUGUGUGACACCAACAAUUUCAGCUGAAUGUCAGCCUUUAUUGAGUUGGACUUGCACAUCCAUGGAUUUUGGUAUCGGAGGGAGGUCCUGGAACCCAUCCACUACGGAUAUCCAGGGACGACUG